AACGAACGCUGGCGGCAGGCCUAACACAUGCAAGUCGAACGAAGUCUUCGGACUUAGUGGCGGACGGGUGAGUAACGCGUGGGAACGUGCCCUUUGCUUCGGAAUAGCCCCGGGAAACUGGGAGUAAUACCGGAUAAGCCCUACGGGGGAAAGAUUUAUCGGCGAAGGAUCGGCCCGCGUUGGAUUAGGUAGUUGGUGGGGUAAUGGCCUACCAAGCCGACGAUCCAUAGCUGGUUUGAGAGGAUGAUCAGCCACACUGGGACUGAGACACGGCCCAGACUCCUACGGGAGGCAGCAGUGGGGAAUCUUAGACAAUGGGGGAAACCCUGAUCUAGCCAUGCCGCGUGAUCGAUGAAGGCCCUAUGGGUUGUAAACUGCUUUUAUACAGGAAUAAACCCCUCUACGUGUAGAGGGCUGAAGGUACUGUAAGAAUAAGCACCGGCUAACUCCGUGCCAGCAGCCGCGGUAAUGUACAGUGU
rnacentral:rRNA from 1 species